AGGGGGAGGGUGUAAUGUUCUUGUGAUUGCAUUUCAGCAGGGCUCCUGGCCCCGACUGCCUCCACAACUGGGCUCAUUUCAGCCCCUGAUCAGAAAUCAGCCUGUUCUUUCAUAUAGGAACUCUCUGAUGAGUUACUCUGUUGGAUGCCGAAGCUUGCAGAUCAGGAUCUGAGUCAGAAAACAUAGUAAGAAGGGUACUAAGAACAUACUCUACAUGCACUAUUUUGGCACUUGAUGCUGAUCAUAGUUCAAUCAGAUUGAAUAAAAGUCCCUUCUUGUCUCAGGUCUUUCUGGAAGCUUGAGUGCUGGGAAGCUGCAAAGCUGGCUCUACUUAUCAGCAGUAAUUCCCUGUUCCCUUCCAGUUUCUGCAUUUGGUGUGCUCAUUGCCUGUGCUCCACCAUGUUUUGUUGUUUUGUUUUUUUUUAAUCUGAGCUCCAAAUGCGGACAGAUAAAAGCCCUCCAUAGUCCUGUGUGUGAACUUCUAGGAUAGAGUUUUGAUGUUGUAGAAGCAGACUUUUCAGCAUUUCAUUAAGCACUUGCUAGUGUUUAACUACCAAAUUUAAGUGAGUUCAGUGGCAAAAUUACCUACCAGCCUAAUGACAGAGCAGCAAGCUGUUAUUAGGUCUCCAAACACAAGUUCCAUUUGGGCUUGUCUGAGGCCCUCCAGACCAGUCCCUGGCUGAUGGCUUAAGGAGGGGCACCAGGAGCAUUGCAAACUUAUUGUUUGUCCUUUCAGCAGCCUCCAUCCUGAGCAGCUGCUGAGGGAGGGGAACAUUAACUGAGGCCACAGGAGGAUCUUCAAGGCUUUCAGUGAUUGGAGGGGGAGGGAUUUUUACUCCUGUUAAGUCCUAACU